GAUGAACGCUGGCGGCGUGCCUAAUACAUGCAAGUCGAGCGAACAGACGAGGAGCUUGCUCCUCUGACGUUAGCGGCGGACGGGUGAGUAACACGUGGAUAACCUACCUAUAAGACUGGGAUAACUUCGGGAAACCGGAGCUAAUACCGGAUAAUAUAUUGAACCGCAUGGUUCAAUAGUGAAAGACGGUUUUGCUGUCACUUAUAGAUGGAUCCGCGCCGCAUUAGCUAGUUGGUAAGGUAACGGCUUACCAAGGCAACGAUGCGUAGCCGACCUGAGAGGGUGAUCGGCCACCCUGGAACUGAGACACGGUCCAGACUCCUACGGGAGGCAGCAGUAGGGAAUCUUCCGCAAUGGGCGAAAGCCUGACGGAGCAACGCCGCGUGAGUGAUGACGGUCUUCGGAUCGUAAAACUCUGUUAUUAGGGAAGAACAAAUGUGUAAGUAACUAUGCACGUCUUGACGGUACCUAAUCAGAAAGCCACGGCUAACUACGUG
rnacentral:rRNA from 1 species